rnacentral:rRNA from 1 species
CGGAAAACGGUAAUAGUGCGUGUAAACAUACUCCCAAGAAAAUCCGCUAAACUUAAUCUUAUAGGUACCCGUACCGUAAACGGACACACGUAGUCGGGUUGAAUAUACUCAGGCGCUUGAGUGAAUCACGGUUAAGGAACUAGGCAAAUUGACCCUGUAACUUCGGGAUAAAGGGUCCCUACCCGGUGACGGGAGGGCGCAGAGAAUAGGUCCAGGCAACUGUUUAACAAAAACACAGGGCUGUGCAAAAUUGAAAGAUCACGUAUACAGCCUGACACCUGCCCGGUGCUGGAAGGUUAAGAGGAGAUGUCAUCGCAAGAGAAGCAUUGAAUUGAAGCCCCAGUAAACGGCGGCCGUAACUAUAACGGUCCUAAGGUAGCGAAAUUCCUUGUCGGGUAAGUUCCGACCUGCACGAAUGGUGUAAUGAUCUGGACACUGUCUCAACCGUGAGCUCAGUGAAAUUGUAGUAUCGGUGAAGAUGCCGAUUACCCGCGAUGGGACGAAAAGACCCCGUGAACCUUUACUAUAGCUUAACAUUGAAUUUGGGUAAUUGAUGUGUAGGAUAGGCCGGAGACUUUGAAGCAGGCACGCCAGUGUUUGUGGAGUCGCUGUUGAAAUACGGCCCUUUGGUUAUUUGAGUUCUAACUCGCUGAUGCGAGGACACUGUUUGGUGGGUAGUUUGACUGGGGU